rnacentral:rRNA from 1 species
UACAGAGGUCUCAAGCGUUGUUCGGAUUCAUUGGGCGUAAAGGGUGCGUAGGCGGCGCGGUAAGUCGGGUGUGAAAUCUCGGAGCUUAACUCCGAAACUGCAUUCGAUACUGCCGUGCUUGAGGACCGGAGAGGAUAGUGGAAUUCCCAGUGUAGUGGUGAAAUACGUAGAGAUUGGGAAGAACACCAGUGGCGAAGGCGGCUAUCUGGACGGUUUCUGACGCUAAGACGCGAAAGCGUGGGGAGCAAACAGG